AUUGAACGCUGGCGGAAUGCUUUACACAUGCAAGUCGAGCGGCAGCACGGGGCAACCCUGGUGGCGAGCGGCGAACGGGUGAGUAAUACAUCGGAACAUGCCCAGUCGUGGGGGAUAACACUUCGAAAGAAGUGCUAAUACCGCGUACGCCCUGAGGGAGAAAGCGGGGGAUCGCAAGACCUCGCGCGAUUGGAGUGGCCGAUGUCAGAUUAGCUAGUUGGUGGGGUAAAGGCCUACCAAGGCAACGAUCUGUAGCUGGUCUGAGAGGAUGAUCAGCCACACUGGGACUGAGACACGGCCCAGACUCCUACGGGAGGCAGCAGUGGGGAAUUUUGGACAAUGGGGGCAACCCUGAUCCAGCCAUUCCGCGUGAGUGAAGAAGGCCUUCGGUUGUAAG
rnacentral:rRNA from 1 species